rnacentral:rRNA from 1 species
UGGGGAAUUUUGGACAAUGGGGGAAACCCUGAUCCAGCCAUCCCGCGUGUGCGAUGAAGGCCUUCGGGUUGUAAAGCACUUUUGGCAGGAAAGAAACGUCAUGGGUUAAUACCCCGUGAAACUGACGGUACCUGCAGAAUAAGCACCGGCUAACUACGUGCCAGCAGCCGCGGUAAUACGUAGGGUGCAAGCGUUAAUCGGAAUUACUGGGCGUAAAGCGUGCGCAGGCGGUUCGGAAAGAAAGAUGUGAAAUCCCAGAGCUCAACUUUGGAACUGCAUUUUUAACAACCGGGCUAGAGUGUGUCAGAGGGAGGUGGAAUUCCGCGUGUAGCAGUGAAAUGCGUAGAUAUGCGGAGGAACACCGAUGGCGAAGGCAGCCUCCUGGGAUAACACUGACGCUCAUGCACGAAAGCGUGGGGAGCAAACAGG